GUGAUGCAGAAGCAAGGGUGCUAGAAUGGAGACAGGAGUCCUAGUGCUGACGACCACUGGCUGUAUGACUCUGGCAGAGUUUGGGAGCUUUGGCUUAGUUAAAUUAACAGAGGAGACGUACAAGGAGCUUUUGCAAAGUCAGAUGUCUCUGAUGAUGGAUUGGGACAUGAAUGGGAGCAGAGCUCCAUUCCAGAGUCCCCAAAGAAGAGGCACUCUUGUUCGAGCUUCACUCAGCUGUGUC